GAUGAACGCUGGCGGCGUGCCUAAUACAUGCAAGUCGAGCGAACGGACGAGAAGCUUGCUUCUCUGAUGUUAGCGGCGGACGGGUGAGUAACACGUGGAUAACCUACCUAUAAGACUGGGAUAACUUCGGGAAACCGGAGCUAAUACCGGAUAAUAUUUUGAACCGCAUGGUUCAAAGGUGAAAGACGGUCUUGCUGUCACUUAUAGAUGGAUCCGCGCUGCAUUAGCUAGUUGGUAAGGUAACGGCUUACCAAGGCAACGAUGCAUAGCCGACCUGAGAGGGUGAUCGGCCACACUGGAACUGAGACACGGUCCAGACUCCUACGGGAGGCAGCAGUAGGGAAUCUUCCGCAAUGGGCGAAAGCCUGACGGAGCAACGCCGCGUGAGUGAUGAAGGUCUUCGGAUCGUAAAACUCUGUUAUUAGGGAAGAACAAAUGUGUAAGUAACUAUGCACGUCUUGACGGUACCUAAUCAGAAAGCCACGGCUAACUACGUG
rnacentral:rRNA from 1 species